rnacentral:rRNA from 1 species
GAGUUUGAUCCUGGCUCAGAUUGAACGCUGGCGGCAGGCUUAACACAUGCAAGUCGAGCGGUAACAGGUCCUUCGGGAUGCUGACGAGCGGCGGACGGGUGAGUAAUGCAUAGGAAUCUGCCCGAUAGUGGGGGAUAACCUGGGGAAACCCAGGCUAAUACCGCAUACGCCCUUCGGGGGAAAGCAGGGGAUCUUCGGACCUUGCGCUAUUGGAUGUGCCUAUGUCGGAUUAGCUAGUUGGUGGGGUAAAGGCCUACCAAGGCGACGAUCCGUAGCUGGUCUGAGAGGAUGAUCAGCCACAUCGGGACUGAGACACGGCCCGAACUCCUACGGGAGGCAGCAGUGGGGAAUAUUGCACAAUGGGCGCAAGCCUGAUGCAGCCAUGCCGCGUGUGUGAAGAAGGCCUUCGGGUUGUAAAGCACUUUCAGUCGUGAGGAAGGUAGUGUAGUUAAUAGCUGCAUUAUUUGACGUUAGCGACAGAAGAAGCACCGGCUAACUCCGUGCCAGCAGCCGCGGUAAUACGGAGGGUGCGAGCGUUAAUCGGAAUUACUGGGCGUAAAGCGCAUGCAGGUGGUUUGUUAAGUCAGAUGUGAAAGCCCGGGGCUCAACCUCGGAAUAGCAUUUGAAACUGGCAGACUAGAGUACUGUAGAGGGGGGUAGAAUUUCAGGUGUAGCGGUGAAAUGCGUAGAGAUCUGAAGGAAUACCGGUGGCGAAGGCGGCCCCCUGGACAGAUACUGACACUCAGAUGCGAAAGCGUGGGGAGCAAACAGGAUUAGAUACCCUGGUAGUCCACGCCGUAAACGAUGUCUACUUGGAGGUUGUGGCCUUGAGCCGUGGCUUUCGGAGCUAACGCGUUAAGUAGACCGCCUGGGGAGUACGGUCGCAAGAUUAAAGCUCAAAUGAAUUGACGGGGGCCCGCACAAGCGGUGGAGCAUGUGGUUUAAUUCGAAGCAACGCGAAGAACCUUACCAGGCCUUGACAUGCAGAGAACUUUCCAGAGAUGGAUUGGUGCCUUCGGGAACUCUGACACAGGUGCUGCAUGGCUGUCGUCAGCUCGUGUCGUGAAAUGUUGGGUUAAGUCCCGCAACGAGCGCAACCCUUAUCCUUGUUUGCCAGCGAGUAAUGUCGGGAACUCCAGGGAGACUGCCGGUGAUAAACCGGAGGAAGGUGGGGACGACGUCAAGUCAUCAUGGCCCUUACGAGUAGGGCUACACACGUGCUACAAUGGCGCAUACAGAGGGCGGCCAACUUGCGAAAGUGAGCGAAUCCCAAAAAGUGCGUCGUAGUCCGGAUUGGAGUCUGCAACUCGACUCCAUGAAGUCGGAAUCGCUAGUAAUCGUGGAUCAGAAUGCCACGGUGAAUACGUUCCCGGGCCUUGCACACACCGCCCGUCACACCAUGGGAGUGGGCUGCAAAAGAAGUAGGUAGUUUAACCUUCGGGGGGACGCUUACCACUUUGUGGUUCAUGACUGGGGUGAAGUCGUAACAAGGUAACC